UUUUACCAUAUUGGUUAAUAUUAAUUAUUUUAUAAUAAAAUGAUUAAACUCAUUUAAAACAUAAAAUAUGUAAUUGUUUUGUCUGAUUAUAAUAAUUUGGGCACUCAAUCUCUAAUUACAUAAUAGAAAAAUAAUUAUUUUCUCACUAGUUAUAAUAUUUUUAUCAGAAAACAAAUGACUUAGACCACUGUCAAAAUAAACAUGAACAAAGUUUCAUUUAACCAACUUUCUUCAACAUUAAAAUCAUUUUCACAAAGGGUCAAGUGUUCAGUAAAGGGUUAAAUUUCUCUUCGGGAUAUUUUAAUUCUUUCUCCCAACAUCAUCCUCAUAUUGUUGUACUUAUAUCUUCUCAUCCUCGAUUUUUACGUUAUCAAUGUUAAAUCCGAAAAUACUCAAUACCUGAUUAGUUUAUUUCGUUUAUCGAGAGACGAACAGUGGCAGUGCGUAGGGGUCCUAUUUCCCUCCUUGAACGGUGUUUGUACGUGUCGCUGAAAAUAAAAAAAAUAAAAAUAAAAAUAAAAAUAAAAAAGUAGACGGCAAAUUGUUCGUAGAAAAGCCACGUUCCGUUCGACGAAUCGAGAGUACCAUUACGUGUAAUAAAAUAUUAUUUUUAUUCAUUUCCGCGGUAAUUUUUGACGUUCCAUUUACUGUUUCAUGUCUUUGAUCUUUCUCAACCCGUUCAAUUUUUUUUUUUUAUUUGGCACUUGUCUGUUUUUUUACUCAAAUCAGUAUUUUUUUUAAAUAUGAUAAGAAUGUCAAAAUAAUUUUUAUUGUCUCAGUUUCGUCUACCGGUACGUAGCCUAGUGCAAGCUAAGCACGAUAAAAUUUCACGCGCGAAACAGAAUUAAAGUGCCAGCAAGUUGACCUGUAAGAGAGAAAUAAUAAUAAUAAAUAAUAAUAAUCAGACGCUUUUGUAAUUGAAUAACAGGAAACUAAUGUAACGUGUAAUGUAUUGUAAUGUAACAUGAUAUUAUAACCCCACCUCUAAAAAAAAAAUAAUAAUAAUGAUAAUAAUAAUUAACCUACUCGUCUUUUUUGUAUGUGUAAGCAUAGCGCGUCGAGAAUCACGGCGAUGAUGUUUCUAGCAAUAGAAAGUAAUGGUACAAUGGAACAAGAUGGAUCUUUGAUCGGAGUUAAUUAGCACUUGAUUAGCAACAAGCAACGCUUCGAAGAGCAUUGCUCAUCCCGACCGAGUGUAACUCCCUUUUAACCCAUUUGCACCAGGUUUUCGGAAUUUUAAAGUGGUCAUCACUGCAAAAAUAUACAUGUUUUAACAAAAAUUCUCUCGUGUAUAAAAAUAUCAAUGAUUUUUAUAUGACAAUGAAAUAUUUACAAGUGGAAGACUUUUGAAUAUUGAAAAAAUAAUAUUUAACACAGCAAUAUAAAAUUCAGAAAAUGAAAAUGGAUGAAAAAUUAAUUUUCGUUAUUAAGGUGUAAAUGGGUUAAUUAACGAGGGACAUCACCUGAUUGACCCACACUGAUUUUAGUCCAAUUUUAAUACAACACAGUUUUUUUUAGAAAAAUAUUCAUUUUGAAGGGGUGAAAAUAGUUUUUGAAAUUAUUUCUAAUAUCUUGAAAACUUUACUCACUUAAUCAUUUCCAGAACUUUUUCAACCCCUUAACUGUUUUCACCCUUUCAACGUGGACAUCUUCCUUCCAGGAAAAAGCAAACGUAGAAUACACUUUUUAGUUUUACAUGAUAUUAAAAUUGCAGAAAAAAUCAUUGUUCAUCAAUCGAUUGUUGUCCUUCAUAAGUCAUCAGUCUGCUCGACGUCAAGUCUCUUAGCGUUUAGUUUUUUAUAUUACGAAACCAUUUCUCGACAAGUCAAUUUCGAGACGGCACGUGUCUAGUUACGUUUAGCGUUUUUUGCGAGGUAAUCCUUUUUAAACCACGUAUCGUAUUUUACACGAUACGCUGAAAUAAGCAGAAAAAGAACAAAAAAAAAAGUAGAAAUUUUCGAAUUUCCCAGUCGUUUGACGCGUGACUUGACUUCGAGCAUCAAAGCAAAACCAUCGCUCCCUCCUCCUUUGUUUUUUACUUUUUCACUAUCGACGAACGAGAACGGCAAAAAAAAUGAAUAAAUAAAUAAAAAGAAAAAAUGAAACGCAAUAGAUAAAUUCGACUACCCUAUAGAUAGUAUACAUAAUGAAUAAUAAAAUGAAAAAAAAAAAAGAACGGUAAAGUAUACAUAUUAUAUGUGUAUAUUACAAAUACAUAUUUAUAUAAUAUAUACACUUUACCAUAUAUAUAUUAUAUAUAUAUAUAUAUAUAUAUAUAUAAAUGGAAAAUGAUGUGUAUUGUAAGAUAUUUAAUACCGACUUGUCUUUAGGCACACCACGAUGAUCGAUCGCAAUGAAACGAUGAUAAUAAUUAUUACGAUGAUUGUUGUAUAACGAACGACGACGACGAUGGAUGAUGAUAAUGUUAUUCUACAUUGUAAUUUGCGUUGUAACAUAGAGGCCCAACCGUUACCCACUAAAAAAUCGAUGUGUCGAUGUAUAAAUCCCGGACGUGCCUCGCUCGUGCACGAAAAUGAAAAAUGAAAAAUUGAAAAUUUGUAUUUGAAGCGAAUGUUGAACGUCGACAAAAUUUUAAUUACAAUAGAAAUCAAUUGUUCUUUUUUUUUUUUUCUAUGGGAGUGUAACUGAGAAUUGUAAUAUCCAACUACCACCGUGAUUUAAAUUAAAUGGGACUUUUUAUUUCAAUGUUGUUUUUGUGUUGUAGAAAUGAACAACGAGUGCAGUACGUCCGGCAGCAACUAGCAAUAAUAUAACAUUCCAACUUAAAUCGUGUACGUACUGCGAAUUCUAAUAAUGUGUGCCGCCGUACGAGAGAGAAAAACACUGUCAAAUACACGCUCAUACACUGCUACAUCUGUGUGGUAUUUAUUUUAAUUGUUUCUUAUCCUAGACUAAAAAGUUGAAAAUGGUACUCUUUUAAUCCUUUCGAACCGAGUAUGUUUCAUUUCGAUUUUAUUCUUUCUUUUUUCAGUGCUUCCCAAUGUGGGCGAUACCAUCCCCUUGUAGGUGCUAGAACGAUUCAUGGGGGAUGGAAGUAGGCUCAGAUGAAAUUGGAGAGUGUAAAUUGGUCACUGCAUCUUUCUGUUUGUUCAGUUAAAAAAAUUAUAUUUUCCACAAUGCAGAGUGAGUAACUUCACCCCUUUAAAUUAAUUUAUUCGAAGAAUAAUCAUCCUUUGCAUAACUCAAUGUCUUUCAAAUCUUUUUGAAGUUACAUUAUAAUUUUUAUUUUUAUUGUGAAAAUUUUCUGGUUAAUUUGAUUUAUUUUUUUAAUUAUAUAUUGCACAUAUUUAAAAUAAUAUUAAGUAUACGUUUAAAAUUGAGUAAAACGUAAAUAUAAAAUGGACAGCUGUUAAACCAGUUCAUAGUGAUAAAGUCGUUAUCGUCUGAUUUAUUUCAACGAGUUAUGCAAAGUGAACAAAUUUAUUACACAAUAAUAUCGGCGGGAGAUUUACCUCUCAGGUAAUUUAAUACUGGUAAUUAAGCAACCCUUCGAUCUUAAGCGUUUCUUUUAUAGAAAGCAGUAUAAAUGAUUUAUAAGCCAUUCUAAAAUAAGAACGUCCGAAAUAAAAACUAGACUACGGGGUUGAUUCUACUAAAUUAAUGAAUUGACGAAUAACGAAAGCAGCCAAGAAAAUGGCAUUAUAUCAAUUCUCCAAACUUAAUCUCUCUAAGGUACCAGCAACCAUUUUAGUCUUCUCGAGAAUGGAUUUUAGAAGCACUCGUGUGCUCAUCGAUGCGCAAAUCCGCUCAAAUCACUCGAAGGCCGAAAGCGAAAAUCAAACAAGUCGUGGCGAUCGGAUCGGACGGGAAAGCGGUGCCAACCUGAAAGGAUUGGACGAAACUAUGUACAUCUACCUUUAAGGGUGGCACGUGGAUAAGCACUGUGGAACUGCAACACCAUCAAUCUUCCUCAGGGUGGAUGUAUAUUUCGAAAGUUGCAGCCAAAGCGAGCAGCCACUGGCUAAUUUACGAAGGUACCGAACUAAUUUACACACCUAAUAAAUACCCUGUUACAUAGGAAACAGUUGCUCUUUUCACGUGAUACGUAGGUAGUACGUCGAAAGCGUAUCAGCGAGUACCGAGAAUUCAAUUACCGUUCCGAAGCUCGACGCUGGAGAAUUCGCGAUAACGUGAAGGAUACAAAAAGAGCAUUCUCUCUGCCUAAACCAGAGAUAGGUGCAAGCAUAGGUAGAUGUAUACCUGUAUUCACCUGCGUAGGGAGUCUGCCAGACUGGCGCUUGAUAAGCGGUUGUCGGGCGAUAAGAGAGAACGAUACACGAGGGUAACGCACUUAGUUCGCGUACGUUCGCUAUAGGAUGUUUCAUGCUGGAAAUGUUUGAACGAAUAUCAUGUGCAAUAAUGUCGCGUACACCGGAUGUACGAUAUGUAAGUAGAAAGUGAAUUUCCAUGAUACGCAUCAUAUCUUUGAUAGGUGCGGAUCGUCAUCGUAUCUGAUUUUUUCAGUUCUUCCCCAAACAUAUCUUAUGAAUCUCCGAUAAAAUUUGAUUAUUUUUUAUUUAAUAUGUAACACGUGUAGAAGAAACUAAAAACAGGGUGAUUUUAUUUUCGUUUUAUCAGAAGGAAAUUUGUACUGUAUAUUUGAAAGUCUCUUUUGAAAUAUUUCCAAUUUUUAUUGAAACCCAAAUUUUGAUUAUUUUAAUUAAUUUUUUAUUACAAAUAAUCAGCUAUUUUAUUCAAACUUUAAUUUUCAAAUUAAUAUUCCAAUUUUGCAUUGCUCGUAUGCCAUCAAAAAAUGCUAGACUUUCCAUAUUUCGAAAUCGGCUAUCGGAUAUGAUACAACCAUUACAGAUACCGAUCAACCUUUGCAGUAGUCUAUCAUUCUCUAAAACUCUUAUGAAAGUAUUUCUCUUAGCAUCGAGCGGUCAAUAAUUUUCGUGUACCGAGGGAAAAUAAGAGAAAGCAAGAAACGGACAAUCAAAAAGACGAGGAAUGAGGCCGAAGAAAGGAUGGUACCUAAAGUGGUCACGGCGAAAUACUGUUAUGGAGCCGAGCGGUAUAGUGGUCGGUUAGUAAGCGUGGGUGUAGAUGUAAAAAGAUUACGCCUUGACUCGGAGUCGCGUGGCCUUCUCCCUUCUCCUCCCUUUUUUAAUCUGACAACUAUCCGUUUCCUUUUCUCUCGUAACCCUUUUCAUUUCUUGGUACGCACACUCGGUCUCCCUCAAUUUCUUCCCUCCCUCCCCAUCUUGGUCCCUUAUUCUGUCCCCCUUCCUUUCUUUAUUUAUUUUCUUUUUUUUCUUACUUUCGUUCUUACAGUUUCUCCGGUCCUAUCUUCCCUUCCCUCCACUCUUCUUUUCUUUCUCAUGCGCCGUGUUUCAGUCCUACUACCGGUCUGUGUUUCGUACCUUCUCGCGACGUUGCCCACCAUCUCGCGCGCAUAAAAUACAGUCAGGAAUUUUAAUAAGCCCGCCAUUGUGCCGCGCGGUCCCGGUUCCCACAGAUUAUUUCGACCCGGCUUAAGACCACUCGUGUUUCGGGUGUAAACGGAACUUUACGGUGCAACGAAACCACCCGCGGUUUUACGCGCUCGCUCGAGUUAGUUAAAUUGUCGCGGAAUUUUACGACGAGUCAAAUAUUUCCGCUCGACGGUUUUUCCGGCAAUUAGAGACGUCGUUUAAUUACGGAUUUUUCAUCUUUUUUCAUUUUACUUUUAUUCAAAUUUCAGUGACUCAGUCAUCGUUUGAUCGUUUAAAGGUACAAGGAAAAAGUCUGGCAAAAUCAAUUCUCCCCUCUCGUUAACAGUCCCACGUUAAUGUCAAGCUGGAUAGGAAGGAGAAGACAGUUAUGCCAUUCCGGAAAUGCUGGUAUGUCGUCGUGGCGCCAGAACCGUAUAUCGGCACACGACGAACCGCAAAUCAAUUUACACGUCCCUUUCAACCACAGCAUGCCUCGUCACGUCGUUUCCUCGCAAGAUUGAAAUCGACGAGUACGAGAGACGGUAUCGUAUCUGAAUACUGUCAUCGCGAUUGCAGUUGCAGAAUGAGUAAAGCGAUAUCAAAAGACAAAUGUGGGGCAAAUCUCGUCUGCUGGAAUCGUAAUAGGUGAAUCAGGGAAAAAUUUCAAGACUCAUCGAAGAGUAAAUUUUGUAAUAAUAAAUCUUUAUUAUCCCUUUAGGAAAGGUUUUUAUUUUACACAGGUACGAUAGCCACAUUGUUGCUCUGCAUUCGGUAUAAAUUUUAGACGAAAGAGUCAUCCGUCGAGGACGAGUGAUAAUCACCUUUUUUUUCCAUUGGAUGUGAUUUAAGAAAACGACGUUGAAGACCAUGGGUGGUGGUGAUUCAGAGGGAUGCAGCUGGUCCUGGGGCUCCUGGAAUUUCGGACGGAGGUUGUUCGCGUUCAUCGAUCUCGCCGUUUCAGCUCUUGAAUCAUCAGAGACAGUAGCUAUCGGCAGAAGAGAACAGAAGCAGCAGUCUUUCUCCGAAUGGAACCGUAACGAAUAACGUACCAGGAAUGAGAACCGCUGUAGUCAACUGUAUCAUAUUAGUGGCAGUAAUUACAAAUCAUUGGAGAAACUGGAACUGGCCAUUCAACCUUUUCAGUCUGUCGGCUUGGAAAAUACAUAUUUCAACACGAUCACACGUGUUCGAGUAUGUAUCAGGAUCCAGCUUCCUCGAUAAAAAAAAUUCCAUUAAUUGAAAACCGUGACAUUGCGGGAAGCGAAGGCUUUUAUUGUCCCCCAAUAAUUCGUGGCAUUUGUUUCGCUAAGAAGAUCCGGCGGAAAAUUGAUUCAACGAGAGUCCAGAACUACGGCAAGCGGCUUUUCCGGCGUUGACACGAAAAAUGGAAGGCUCCAUUCUCCGGCGAAGCCUGACAAAUGCGGUCUAUUUGUAGCAGGCUGGGUUAAAAGGGGAUUGAUUUAUCGGUUCGCAUCUUCUCGUUGGUGAUUUUUCGUAUCGGCCACCGUAUUUAUGAGACGAUACCGCAUCGUAUUAAUGGGUCCUUCUGUACGGUACCAGCCGGUCGUAUCGAUACCACGAUCUUGUCUCGAAUCUCGGCCUAUCGAUACGUUCCAAUCUGAUCGGCCUACCUGCGAUGGCCACCUUCCCACGCGACAUCUCUGUAUCUUCAACUUGUACAGUACAUACAGUACGUCUCACAAGAAUGUAUCCAUAAUUAUAAUGAAUUAAUUAAGAAUUACAGGUGUUUCAAUAUACUGCUAAUUGGUAAUGACAAUAGCACAGCUACGUGACCUAUGGUAUAUUUAUAACUCCAUCAGUUAUUUCUAUAAUAAUAAUAACAAUCGAUAAUAUUAUAAUGAUUAAAUAAUUGUACUCUACAUUUUAUUUGUAAGCAGCGUAGAAAAAUUAUUAAAAAAUAUUCUAAAAUAUUGCCAUAACAGUGGAAAUUAGACUAAUUAUGAAAGGAUUAAUUGAGGUACCACAUACUAAAAUAAAAUUGCAUGCCAUUUGCAAUAAUGUGAUAAUAUACCAGUGGUAUAAACCUAAUUGACCGAUAGGGGAAAUUAACAAAUACUUUUCAUACGAUACAUAUUUCAAUCCAUGCGCAACAUUUUACACGGUAGAUAAAUUUUCACCAAGAUAUCGUGGCCACGCUCUUGUGAGACAGACUGUAAGUACACUCAGGGACCUCCUGGUAGCAUGUUUUAUCGUAUUGCGUUAUUUCACGGCGAAUGACACCAGGGUAUAUCGUCCCCGCAUUAAUGACGUUCUUACCGAUUGUGAGAUACGUCUUGUUUUCCCCGUUGGAGAUCCGAGGAGAGACUCGAUAACGGGUUGGUCGUCUCCUCCACGAGGUGGUCAUCCCGUCCUUACCAAUUUCGGUACAACUCUCAAUCACGAGGUUACAUUGGUCGUGCAAAGGGAAAGGCCAUAAAUUUUCUCGGCUUUUUGGAAUCCGAUAAUGUUCAUUUCAGUUGAGAUCGUGAUUAGAAAGGGUUGUACAGUAAUUUUUAUCAAAUUUUCAAUUACCAGUCUUGUUUUGCAGCACUUUUAUGUCCUGUGUUUCGAAUUCCUGUGUUUCGAAAUCGGUCAUUUGAUAUGAUACGACCGGACAUAACUGCGGUCCAUGCACACCGUUCGUAAGUUAUAUUAUUUUGUAAGUUAUGCGAUAGUUUAAAACGAUUCCUAUCUGCGUUAAGAGCAAAUAAAAUGAAACUCGUGUGAGUAAUCGUAACAUCAGCGUAUACAUGCGAUGUUCGUAUUGAACGCAUUAAAGUAUAAACGAGGUAGUAUUGUCAGUUUUGUACUGAAAUCGGUUUAUAUCUUUAUAAUGCAUCUGUUUACAACCGCAGUUGUUUUACAAAUUCGAAUAGAGUAAUGUUCCAUGUUCCAGGGUUUUAGGUUUAUAUCAAAUAAAUUAGGCAUUCUUUUUCUAUGCGAAAAAUAUUGAAAAUAUCAAAAGGAGAUUAUUUUAUAUCUAUUUUUAAUAGAAAUUAAAUUUGGAGAUGAAAUUUUAAUUACAACAAUUAACACCUAGUAAAAUUUUUAUCAUUCGAAGCUCACCUGUAUUCAAAAAUAUGUAUUUAUUUUAGAAAACACCAAUUUCUUACCUUGACCAAUGUAAUUCGUUAAUUGUUACAUGGAAUUUUCAAUUCCAAGACAUGUCACGUUUAACAAAACUAAAAUUUUAGCACCAGGAUACGUUUGUAUACGAAGGUAAACGUUGGGUGACGCUUUGCAGUGCUAUUUUUUAUCCUUUUUAUCGAGAUGAAGCAAUCCGGAGUACAAUACAUUGUUAGCGUUACUAAUUACAACGAGAAGCUGCGUUUCAAGUCGAAGCUAAUUUAAGGCGGCGCUAAUUUACCGUUGUAUUUGAACGUACUAUUAGACACGCACGUGCUGCGUGUAAUACUCACGAGUGGAUCCACCGACUCGAUGACACGCGUAAAACAUUCCUCGACCACUUGAACUUAGAACUCGAAAUUUUACUGGCAAUAUGUACGUACACGUAUACGUACACCUGGGACAAGUGUAUGUACGCCAUAUUCGUUCAGCUUGUAAUUACGAUUUGUUUCUACAAUAGCUAGUUUCCUAUAGUGGGCUGUUUACCAAACGUUUACGAUCUACCUUCAUAGAAAUUCAAAGAAGAUCAUUAUCUUUUCAGAUAAACACAAUAUACGAGCUUACUGGCAUUCUACCAAGAACUAUUAACAAUUAUGGUUUAUUCACUACCUGUAAACAAAUUGACAUUCUUACGAAGUAUCUUUAAUUUUCUUUUACUGUAAUACGUAAGGAUUGGUCAGUUUGAUUACAGAAUCGAAAAUAUCGUACAAGAUAAGAAUUAAAGUUAGAUCUAUACAACGAGUUUUAUCAUUAAGGAAUUUAAUCGCGUGAAAUAAAACACGUAUAAUUUGAACCCCUCUUUUAAUUCUUUUCGAGGCGUAGCGAUUCAGUUAUCAGCGAUUUAAUUAUCACCAAAAUUCUGUGUUUUUCGAGUGCCAUGCUUUUGAAAGUUCAAGACUGAGAUAGACUUUGUUCUAGCAUUUGUAUGAAUUCUUUAGUUUAUUUUUAAAUAUUUUUAAUGUAUUAUUAAUCAAGAAAAUUUUAUUUUGGCUGUAAAAUGUACCGAAGUAAAAUUGACAAAUGGAGUAUUUUUAUUGUAAAAUGUACGUCGUCAAGUCAAACAUUUAAUUGUACAUUAACGCUAAUAAUGCAGCUUUUUAGCUGCUCAUGUAAGCCACGUGCCAAAACCCAUCGCAAACAAACGAAAGAACGAAGAAGACGAGCACAAGUAUCGGAAUACAUUACUUUUCAAAAUGUCAGAUGAUGAGAGAUAAAGUACAGAAAAUGCUGUCAAAGGUUUAAAACAAUUGUUACAUUAAAAUUUAAAAAAGAAAAAAAUUGCUCCUCAAAAUAUUAACUUGUAAGAUAUUAAAUGGACUAUUUUGAAACAUAGAAAAUUUGAAUAUGAAUUGGGUAAUGCAAAAUAUCACAUAUGAAGCAAUUUAGUAAUAAAUGAUGGGAAAGAAUUCUGGUAAGUUAGAAAGAAGACAAAAUAAAAUGAAAUGUGUUACAAUACGGUGAGUUCCUCGUAGGCUAGAUGAUUCAGAGAAAAACCCGAACCCGAAGAGUAAUCGAUUUCUGAUUCAAGGUGGAAAGCAAGAGGCUAGCCAUAAGAGGCUGUACGUAAUUAUACCGUAGAGUCCAGUUUCUCGAAAGAGGCCUCCGUUUAGGAGGUUCCGUUUCGCGCUCCCGACGAAAGGAAAGGAGUGAAACUCCUGAUGGAACGAUGUGGGAGGUCUCUCCCACACCCACGUGUGACCACCGAAACCGGCGCUUUGUUUCGGAUUAAAAGAAUCGCCCAAAUCCAUAUUGCGUUACGUCCUGAAGGCAGGUAUAAUCACUGUGUAACGUAAAACCAAAUUAGCGCAGAUUCUGAUCCAUUUACAAGCCAUAAUAUGACACUUUAAAUUAAAAAUUGAAAAUAAUGUUUAGGGUACUGAAAUAAUGCGUACAUCUUAAUGUUUAUAAAAUUAUUAUUCCGUUUAUUAGGUCAGAUUCUUUCUAUAUAUCAUUUUUCUAACUAUGAUGAAAAGCAGAGAUGACUAAUGGUAAAAAUAACAUUUUCAAGGGAAAAUAGUAGUCGAUAUUGCACGAAACUUGCUGAAUAUACAACUCCAUACGAGAUAAUUUAGAAGAGUGUACAAUGAAAACAAGCAUAAAAUCGAAACUUUGCAACAGUAUUGAUACCAAUACUGUCGAUAUGGGAUGGGCGAAUAUACGGAAUGAUUUUAAAAUUGGGACAAGCUAUAACUUCUUCUCGAGUAAACAUCGUAUGUACGUACCUGUAAAAUCUAUCAUAUCUGAAAAUUGACUAGACGGUGUAUCAGUUGUUUUUCUUAAAAGUAGGACAAAUUUACUUUCUCUUGUUUCGUGAUAUUAAUCCUUUUGUGGCUACCGCAUGUAUAAGUUCUUUUAUACACCUGGAUGGAGCUACAUUGAAAAUUAUUAAAUGUAGAAAAACUAAUUAAUGAAGGUAAUCGAACAAUUUACAUAAUUAAAUUUUGGUGUUUAUUUCACAUCAACAAUUGAAGGAAAAACACUUAAAGAAUUCUGAUUAGGUGAUAAUGACCAUUGAGAACACAAGAAGUUAAUUCGUUAAUUGAGAUAGAUAAUUUUAAGAAUGGCUGAUGCCAGUAGUACUACGUGUCAAUUUCGAUACAAUAAAAUACAAGUGUAUGUACAAUAAUACUUAAUUUAUCGAAACAUUUUUAACUUUCUCUCUACAUAGAAGGGUGCAAACAUCCCAACGAUAAUGACGAUUCUUUAAUUUCUAAUUUUUCACACCUUUCUUCUUGAAAAUCAACAAAAUUUCACAAAUACACAGUCAGUUUCUCUUUACAUUUGCCACUGAAAAUGCAUGGGGUGCAACUGCACUUAUGUGCAUACAUAAUAUCUUAGAAGAGAAUACUUAAAAUCUUCUUCUCUUUCUAUCCUUUCUUUAUUAACUCCACCUUUUUGUUUACAAUCUAUUUGAGAUAAGCAAAGAGUAAAUAUAUGUGGAAUUAUUUUAUGCUUUUUAUUUUUAAUGUUAUUUAUAUACCUAGUCGUUUCUGUAUAGUCAUUUAUUUUGCAAAAUGCAAUUAGUUUAAGGCAAAGCGAAUAAUAUUAAGCUACCCUUAUCGAUUCAAACGAACGACAUUUUGUAUCGGAAGAUCUUAGAUCGCAAUUUGUCAAAUCGAUUGCAAUGCAAAGAUCUUGCCAACCAGUUUCUUGUACAAUGUUUCGAGAGAAUAAUGUUCUUAUUAACGAGUCUAUUUCACGGUUAAUUUGUCGUAAUUGCCAAGGAAGCGGAUUGCGUUCGUUGCGCGAACAGCGGCCCGAUUUGACGUCUCGGUAUGAUUUACACACCGGAGAUAAAGAGUCUUCGAUUAAAGCGCGCUUCUCAUCCCGAGGGCGUAUUCAAGCGUUUAUAAUGUAAUUACGUUUCGUUUCUGUCCUGACCUUUCCCCCGCGGCCUUCUGUGACCAACAUUUCCUCCUACUGUGUCAUUCCAAAUGGGCAACUUUAUUGCUUUAUUGUGAUUCGUUGCAAACAACUGUUUCUUACUCGUGCUGCAAACGAUCAGCUGAAAUGUUAUUUUAUCAACGAAUAAAAAAUUAUGUUAUCAUUUACUUUGUAAUAUUUCUGUAAUAUUUUUUAAUUGGCUUA